ensembl:lncRNA
AUCGGGGUGGACAUGUUUGGGAAAUGUGUGUGAGAUCACGUCAGGCCCCGUGGACAUGGUGGAGGAGGGAGGCCUGUGAGAAAGAGGCAGUUGGCUUUGCCCAUCUCGAUCGUGUCCUGAGGAACGCUGGGACAGGAAAUGCCCAGCGUUUCUUUACUGUUUACUGGACGCCAGACCCACAGAUUUGGAAAGUUGCCUUGGGAGUCAUGAAAAGAUGAAGGGAGAAGGAGGAGGAGCACUGGUUUUCUGCCUUUUGUGGGACUGCCCUGGAGAUUCAAGAUGGAGUUCUGCAGAAUGGGAUGAGGGUGGGGAAGCCCCAACUGAGAGAACAAAGACAUCAAGUUGAAAGGAUGAAACCCUCUUCCUGUGAUUAACAAGAUGAGAAACAAGGCCACAAAAAGUCCCAGUUUUUAUACCUUAGCAUGUGGGCAGCCACAAAAAGCCUGGGUCCUUUACAUCAGUCUUGUCCCAAAACUUCCAUGGAAGGGUUCAGGCUUCUGCUGCUGCUGCUAAGUCGUUUCAGUCCUGUCCGACUCUGUGUGACCCCAUAGACAGCAGCCCACCAGGCUCCCCGGUCCCUGGGAUUCUCCAGGCAAGAACACUGGAGUGGGUUGCUAUUUUCUUCUCCAAAGCAUGAAAGUGAAAAGUGAAAGUAAAGUCACUCAGUCGUGUCCGAGUCUUAGCGACCCCAUGGACUGCAGCCUACCAGGCUCCUCCGUCCAUGGGGUUUUCCAGGCAAGAGUACUGGAGUGGGGUGCCAUUGCCUUUUGCGUUUGCCUUCAGUUCAGUUCAGUUUAGUCGCUCAGUCGUGUCGGAC